GAUGAACGCUGGCGGCGUGCCUAACACAUGCAAGUCGAACGAAGCUUGACGGAUGAUUUCUUCGGAAUGAAACCAGAUAUGACUUAGUGGCGGACGGGUGAGUAACACGUGAGCAACCUGCCUUUCAGAGGGGGAUAACGGCUGGAAACGGUCGCUAAUACCGCAUGAUGUGUUCGGAUGGCAUCAUCUGAACAUCAAAGAUUUAUCGCUGAAAGAUGGGCUCGCGUCUGAUUAGAUAGUUGGUGGGGUAACGGCCUACCAAGUCUACGAUCAGUAGCCGGACUGAGAUGUUGAACGGCCACAUUGGGACUGAGAUACGGCCCAGACUCCUACGGGAGGCAGCAGUGGGGAAUAUUGCACAAUGGGGGAAACCCUGAUGCAGCAACGCCGCGUGAAGGAUGACGGUUUUCGGAUUGUAAACUUCUUUUCUUAGUGACGAAGACAGUGACGGUAGCUAAGGAAUAAGCAUCGGCUAACUACGUG
rnacentral:rRNA from 1 species